rnacentral:rRNA from 1 species
AGAGUGAACGCUGGCGGCAGGCCUAACACAUGCAAGUCGAGCGGCAGCACAGUCGUAGCGAUACGAUGGGUGGCGAGCGGCGGACGGGUGAGGAAUGCAUCGGAAUCUACCUUGUUGUGGGGGAUAACGUAGGGAAACUUACGCUAAUACCGCAUGAGACCGUAAGGUGAAAGCGGGGACCUGUGAGGGCCUCGCGCGACAAGAUGAGCCGAUGCCGGAUUAGCUAGGUUGGUGGGUAAACGCCCAACCGAAGGCGACGAUCCGGUAGCUGGUCUGAGAGGAUGAUCGAGCCACACUGGAACUGACGACACGGUCCAGACUCGACGGGAGCAGCGAGUGGGAAUAGUGGACAAGUGGGACGCGAAGCCUGACU